rnacentral:rRNA from 1 species
AUGCCUAACAUUUGUAUCUCUACAUUUAUGCACUACCAUUAUAGAGCUCAAGGCAUCAGCUGCACCACCAAGUNNNNNNNNNNCUCUUCAGCCGGCCAACUCCCUACUGAGGGAGCCAUGGAACUGCUCGGCCACGCCCUCGAGGUGCUCCCUCAUCAUCCUGUCGUAGGCUGCUGCUCCGGGCCUGCCUCCUCUCAGCUCCCGUCGCUGGAAAUUAGCGGCACCACCAGCUCCCCCGUCUCAAAGUCCCCAAUUACCAGAAUACCAGGCAAGGAAGGCCUGAUUGUUGCUGAAGCUGAGCUCAUAAAUGUCUCACGUCAUGUGGUUCUGUGCUAUUCUGAAUCUUCUUCUCUGAAGUGUGUGGUUUCAGUUUCACACAAAAAAUGUGUUGCGCUUGCAGUGCAUACCAAUUUCACGGUUUACCGAUGUGUAUACGUGUUCAUUUGA